UUUUCAAAGAGAAAAUGAAUGAUUUUGGAAAUAAAAGGGGGAUUUUUGAAGAGAAAAUGGGUGAUUUCUGCAUAAAUGAGGGAUUUUUGAAAAGAAAACAGGUGAUUUUUGUGGUAAAUGGGGGAUUUUCAAAGAAAAAAUGGAUUAUUUUCGCUAAAAUGAAGGAUUUUCAAAGAGUAAAUGAAUGAUUUUUGCUUAAAUUGGGGAUUUUUGAAGAGAAAAUGGGUGAUUUUUGCAUAAAUGUGGGAUUUUCGUAGAGAAAAUGGGUGAUUUGGGGGAUAAAUGGGGGAUUUUUGAAGAGAAAAUGGGUGAUUUCUGCGUAAAAGACGGAUUUUCGAAGAGAAAAUGAUUUUCGCUUAAAUCGGGUUUUUUCGAAGAGAAAAUGCAUGAUUUGGGGGAUAAAAGGGGGAUUUCAGAAGAGAAAAUGGGUGAUUUUUGCGUAAAUGAGGGAUUUUUGAAGAGAAAAUGCAUGAUUUUGGGGAUGAAUGGGGGAUUUUUGAAGACAAAAUGUGUGAUUUCUGCGUAAAUGAGGGAUUUUUGAAGAGAAAAUGGGUGAUUUUCGGGUUGAAUGGGGGAUUUUUGAAGAGAAAAUGGGUGAUUUUUGCGUAAAUGUGGGAUUUUCGAAGAGAAAAAUGGUGAUUUUCGGGUUAAAUGGGGGAUUUUCAAAGAGAAAAUGGGUGAUUUUUGUGGUAAAUGGGGGAUUUUCAAAGAAAAAAUGGAUUAUAUUCGCUAAAAUGAAGGAUUUUCAAAGAUCGGAUUUUUUCGAAGAGAAAAAUCGGUUUUUUUCGAAGAGAAAAUGCAUGAUUUGGGGGAUAAAAGGGGGAUUUCUGAAGAGAAAAUGGGUGAUUUUUGCGUAAAUGACGGAUUUUCAAAGAGAAAAUGGGUGAUUUUGGGGAUAAAUGGGGGAUUUUUGAAGAGAAAAUGGGUGAUUUCUGCGUAAAUGACGGAUUUUCAAAGAGAAAAUGUGUGAUUUUCGGGUUAAAUGGGGGAUUUUCAAAGAGAAACGGCAUGAUUUUUGGGUGAAAUGGGGAAUUUUCGAAAAGAAAACAGGUGAUUUUCAGGUUAAAUGGGGGAUUUUCAAAGAGAAAAUGGGUGAUUUUCGCUUAAAUCGGGGAUUUUUGAAGAGAAAAUGGGUGAUUUCUGCAUAAAUGAGGGAUUUUUAAAAAGAAAACGG
ensembl:lncRNA